CCUACGGGAGGCAGCAGUGGGGAAUAUUGCGCAAUGGGCGAAAGCCUGACGCAGCGACGCCGCGUGCGGGAUGAAGGUCUUCGGAUCGUAAACCUCUGUCAGCAGGGAAGAACGGUCACUGUGCUAAUCAGCAGUGAAUUGACGGUACCUGCAAAGGAAGCAUCGGCUAACUCCGUGCCAGCAGCCGCGGUAAUACGGAGGAUGCGAGCGUUAUCCGGAGUUAUUGGGUUUAAAGGGUGCGCAGGCGGAGGCACAAGUCAGCGGUAAAAUCGCGGGGCUCAACCCCGCUCCGCCGUUGAAACUGUGUCCCGUGAGAGCGCGAAGGGUAGGCGGAAGGCGUGGUGUAGCGGUGAAAUGCAUAGAUAUCACGCAGAACUCCGAUCGCGAAGGCAGCCUACCGGCGCGCAACUGACGCUCAUGCACGAAAGCGUGGGUAUCGAACAGGAUUAGAUACCCCUGUAGUC
rnacentral:rRNA from 1 species